rfam:Gossypium hirsutum cultivar TM-1 chromosome 22, whole genome shotgun sequence
CCCCGAAAACCCAAGGGUUCCUCCGCAAGGUUCAUCUACGUAGAGUGAUUCAGGGCUUAAGAUCAGGCCGAAAGGCGUAGUCGAUGGAAAAUAGGUGAAUAUUUCUAUACUACCCCUUGUUGGUCUCGAGGGACGAAGGAGGCUAGGUUAGCCAAAAAAUGGUUAUUGGUUCAAGGACACAAUGUUUCCCUACUUUUUCAGGGUAAGAAGGGGUAGAGAAAAUGCCACGAUCCAAUGUUCGAGUACCAGGCACUUCGGAGUUGAAGUAAUCCAUACUAUACUCCUAGGAAAAGCUCGAACGACCUUCAACAAAAGGGUACCUAUACCCGGAAUCGACACAAACGGGUAGGUAGAGAUACCUAGGGCCAAAAGACAACUCUCUCUAAGAAACUCGACAAAAUAGCCCUGUAACUUCGGGAGAAGGGAUGCCUCCUCAUAAAGGGGGUCACAGUGAUUAGGCCUGGGUGACUGUUUACCAAAAACACAGGUCUCUACAAAGUCAUAAGACCAUGUAUGGCGGCUGAUGCUUGGCCAAUGCCGGAAGGUUAAGGAAGUUGGUGACCUGAUGACAGGGGAGCUGGCGACUGAAACCCUGGAGAACGACGGUCGUAACUAUAAUGGUCCUAAGGUAGUAAAAUUCCUUGUCGGGUAAGUUUCAACCCACACGAAAGGCAUAAUGAUCUGCGCACUGUCUCGGAGAGAGGCUCAGUGAAAUAGACCUGUCUGUGAAUAUGCGGGCUGCCUGCACUUGGACAGAAUGACCCUGUGAAGCUUCACUGUUCCCUAGGAUUGGCUUUGGGCUUUUCCUGUGCAGCUUAGGUGGAAGGCGAAGAAGGCCUCCUUCUGAGGGGCUCGAGCCAUUAGUGAGAUACCACUCUAGAAGAGCUAGAAUUCUAACAUUGUGUCAGAACCUACGGGCCAAUGGAAAGUCUCAGAUAAACAGUUUCUAUAGGGCAUAGGCCUCUCAAAAGGUAAUGGAGAUGUGUAAAGGUUUCUUCAGGCCGAACGGAGAUUGGUCUUCGAGUGCAAAGGAAAAAGGGAGCUUGAUUGCCAGACCCACCCAUAAAGUAGGGACGGAAGUCAGCCUUAGUGAUCCGACGGUGCCGAGUGGAAGGUUUGUUGCUCAACGGAUAAAAGUUACUCUAGGGAUAACAUGCUGAUCUUCCCCAAGAGCUCAUAUUGACAGAAAGGUUUGGCACCUUGAUGUCGGCUCUUUGCCACUUGGGGUUGUCGUAUGUUCCAAGGGUUGGGUUGUUCUCCCAUUAAAGCGGUAUAUGAGCUGGGUUUAAAACAUCGUGAGAUAGUUCAGUCCAUAUCUGGUAUGGGCGUUAGAGCAUUAAGAUGACCUUUCUUUAGUACAAGAGGAUCGGGAAGGAUGCACCUCUAAUGUACCAAUUAUCGUGCUCACGAUAAACGUUGGGUAGCACUUGUUGUUCCUCUACGCCUAGGACACUAGAAUAUUUAACCAUGAAUGAAAAAAGCCGUACGUGAAAAGGAAAAGAAUAUUGGCUAGUGAUUAUGAGGCCCCAAUUCUUAAUUGGAAGAGACACCAAAGGCC